AUUGAACGCUGGCGGCAGGCCUAACACAUGCAAGUCGAGCGGCAGCGGGAAGUAGCUUGCUACUUUGCCGGCGAGCGGCGGACGGGUGAGUAAUGUCUGGGAAACUGCCUGAUGGAGGGGGAUAACUACCGGAAACGGUAGCUAAUACCGCAUAACGUCGCAAGACCAAAGAGGGGGACCUUCGGGCCUCUUGCCAUCAGAUGUGCCCAGAUGGGAUUAGCUAGUAGGUGGGGUAACGGCUCACCUAGGCGACGAUCCCUAGCUGGUCUGAGAGGAUGACCAGCCACACUGGAACUGAGACACGGUCCAGACUCCUACGGGAGGCAGCAGUGGGGAAUAUUGCACAAUGGGCGCAAGCCUGAUGCAGCCAUGCCGCGUGUAUGAAGAAGGCCUUCGGGUUGUAAAGUACUUUCAGCGGGGAGGAAGGUGUUGAGGUUAAUAACCUCAGCAAUUGACGUUACCCGCAGAAGAAGCACCGGCUAACUCCGUGCCAGCCGCCGCAGUAA
rnacentral:rRNA from 1 species